ensembl:lncRNA
GUUGGAUUCAAACAAAGCUGCAUGUCUCAGCACUGACUUUUACAAGGAUCUACAAUUACUUCUGUGGCAUGUUUAAGAAUAUGGACCAAAUGCUUAGAAGGUCACACCUGGGAGAGCUGCAGCCUGCCCUGGGCUAUGAGAGGCUGUUGACAGCUUGAUUGGAGCUAUCUGUGGUGAGGACUGGAUCUGGUGGAGGGUGUUAAAGGCAAUGGGUGAUGCAGAAACCUGUCAGCAGUACAGAGCGCAGGGCUCAGAGCUGUGGGAACGAGUCAUCACACUGGCGGCCUGCCUGGGAGACUGUGCUAUACUCCACCAGGGGGAAGGCAAUUGACAAGUGGGGUUUUGUAAGCCCAGACAAUGUGCCAUCUUCACUGUUUAACCCAGGAAAUCCACUACAGCUGGAGCCUCCAAAUAAAUGAGAAACCCAUGUGUGAAAGUGUGUCUGUCUGUGUGUAUGCAGAUAUUCCCGAACAACUUUGCAUACUUUUAUCAUCUUGAUACAAUCAGUGUUUACUGAAACAUUUUAAAGGACUUUCAGUAUGUCCUCUGUUUAACAUAUGAUGUGCUCAUUUUCCCAUAAAUAAAAAAAGGAGUGAAAACUAUAGGUUGUAUAGG